UACGGAGGGUGCAAGCGUUGUCCGGAAUCACUGGGCGUAAAGGGCGCGUAGGCGGCUCAUGAAGGCUGUGGUGAAAGUCCGGGGCUCAACCUCGGAUCGGCCGUGGCGACUCGUGGGCUGGAGCACUGUAGAGGCGGGUGGAAUUCCGGGUGUAGCGGUGGAAUGCGUAGAGAUCCGGAAGAACACCAGUGGCGAAGGCGGCCCGCUGGGCAGUGGCUGACGCUGAGGCGCGACAGCGUGGGGAGCAAACAGG
rnacentral:rRNA from 1 species